AGGAACAGCCGCUUAUUUAAUCAAUAAACAAUACUUUUUGAAGUUUUUCAUGAAAAUGAAAAUAAAAACAUUUUUUGUGUAAAAAUAAUUUUACUAUUUUUAAAGCUUCGAUUGCCAUCACAGCGAUGAAAUUGCAGGUUUACGCUUAAAUAAAUUUAAUAAAAAUAAAAUAAGCAAAGUUAUAAAAAAUAUAAUGUAUUCAAAAACCGUACAUUUCGACAUACGCCCCAUUCAACAGUGAAUAUAUGCAAAUAACUCAUUCCAUUUAAAAAUCUGUUUAUUUAUAUAUUUCGUUUAAUGCUAACAUAAAACCUUGCAAACAAGGCAAUUAAGGCAUUCAUUUUAAACUUUCUCACUAUUUAAAUACAAGAGAAAAAAUAAAAGAUAUGCAAAAACAAUAGCAAUAACAACAAUAACAACGAAACAACAAAGGCAUAAGCAAAGACAAACACAAACACAAUGAAAGCAAAAGCAGACUGCAGAAAAGUAAAAUAACAACAACAACGCAAUGCAAACAAACAAAAAACAAAAAAAAAUUACCGUUUGUUUUGCAAAUGAAACCCAAAAAUGGAGAUUUCCUGCCUGAAAACAAAGAAGUAAUAAAAUAAUGUAAAUUAAAGAAAUUUCACAGAAAAAAAAUCGGAAAAUAUUUUAGGUGAAGAGAAAAAAACAAAUAAAAAUUCAAAAAUAGGUGGAUAUGAAGAAGAAAAUUGGCAAUGGGAUUUAUGCAAAUGUGAGCUUAAAUGUAAGAUGGUGAAUGAAAGUUGGCACGAAAUUUUGUGCAUGUAUUUUAUUAUUUACACGGCAACAAUAUGUAUAAAGAAGUAGAAGAAGAGAUAAUAGUAAACACAAAGUGGCAACAACAAGGCGACACAGUUACAAAAGUCAAAACUCAAAACUAAAAAGGAAAAUAAUAAAUCAUAAAUAAAUGACUUUUGCAACAAAUUCGGCGCAGAAAUAUGCACAAAAGCGACACAGAGACUGCGCAGAUUUUUUCACUGCUUUCCUGGUUGGUCGGACUUCCACUAUAUUUAGUAAUUUAACACGCCAUUUUGGUAAUACAAGCUCUACGAAAAAAAAUUAACUAUGAAUAUUAAUCGCACCUAAGCAUGCGAGCAACAGAAAAAAGUGCCCAAGAAAUGCGCCAAAGAUGCUGAAUGAAGGGAACUGAGAGAAUGAGGAAGGGCCUCAGCAUGCAGCAAACAGCAACAACAAAAAGUGAAACAGAGGAAAAAAAAUUAUGGUGAACUGAAUUUGUGUAAUUUAUGGACCCAAUUCUGUGUGCAUAUUUUUAGCACACAACAAAAACAACAACAAUAGCAAUUUAACCGCAGAUCAGCAAGCCCAAGACGCGUGCACAUACGCAGAAAUGCCUGUUGUACCUUCGGCAGAAAAACUUUCGCACAUUUUACCAAAAACAUGCAAAUCCAAUGCAAAUAUGAUUAUCUGCUCAUUUCCCGUCUAUAGCUCGGCUUCAAUAGGAAGCGGUACAUUAAAGCGCGAACAAAAGAUUAGACCAUAAAACAAAAAGAACAACCAAAUUUAUGGCUUAUGCACGCCAACAAUAGAAACAAAGCACUUUAUCUGCUGGCUUCAUCAGCGUAUAGUUUGUGAAAAAGAGUCGAAUUUGGAAGAAAAAGGCCGAGGCAGCGAUAAUUUUAACCGAGUUUCGCAUGCAAUUAAAACUAAUUUGCAUAAUUUUGGUAAAUUUGGUGGCAACUAGCAACAACGCCUGCGCGAAAACGGAAAAAGAAAGGUUAACACGAAAUUUCAUUGGCAUUUUCACUUUCAUUAGAAGCGCUCGAGUGGCACAACCGGUCAAGCGAGCGGUCAUUUGGUCAGAAAGUGAAAAAGAACAACAACAAUUAAAUGAAAUAUGUAUGUGAAAGAGUAGAAGUUAGCGCGAAGGGAGUGCUGCGCAUGCGCAUAGUAGCAGCGACGCGAUUGCUCAAUUCAGUUGGGACUACGACAACGCAUUGUCAGCUGGCGUUGCUCGCGUUAGUUGUCGGCGUUAAUGAUACCAUAUUGCGUGUAUAUGUAUGUAAAGAACAGUGGAAGAAAGAGGAAAAAAGUCAGCAAGCAAUCAUACCAAAAUUCAAAUAAAAAAUGUAAUUUAAAUCUUUUAAGUUGCCAUACCUUGUAUACCUAUAUUAACACACAUAGG